GGUCCCAUGCAUAGGCCAAGUCCUGGACAGUUUUUUUAUCUUUAUCUGAGAGUUUGGAUACCCCUUCAAGCUUCAAGAAAGAUAAAGGUCUGGACAGUCCUCUAAAGUAACAGUUGCAGUUUCAGGACUCCCACCAAGCAAGACAUGAACAACAGCAGGGCUGAGUCCUGACAGGCAUGGCCCUCCAUGAAGAAAAGAGUGGCCCAACAUUCUCCCUGCAACAAUGAACAAAUCGCUGUCCACAAGAAAAUGAGAGGCUGAAGGGACUAAAUGUCCAGGCUCUCCCUCAAAUAGCAUUGUAACAUUGGAGUUUCCUGUUGAAGAAAUUUAAAACAUUAAACAAGAAGAAGUCAUGUGCUUCCUUCCACAGUACAAAGACAUGCAGGUUAAUACUGGUUACCUCUUCACUGAUGGUGAUUAUUAGUGGAAUGAGUGUGAAUGGUUGACAGACUAUAUGUGUUUGCACUGUGAUGAACAGGAGGUCACAGUUCUCAUUAAAAUGGCAUAAUUCAUCUAGUAAUGCCCUUUAAACCUUCAGGGAACCCAAACCAACUAAGAUACAAGAAAGCAUUCGAAUAUACAAAAUACAUACCAAAAUUUAUGCAAAACCCAGACUUGAGCUUUUCCAUGCAUCUUGAGAAAUAAAAACGGGUUACACCCUGUCCAACAGCAGUAUCUCCUGUAACACAAUGUAGGGUUUAACACAAUAAAAAUAAAGGAAUACUUAAAUUA